rnacentral:lncRNA from 1 species
UGGCGGGGGGCGGGGUGUGGGGAGCCACUGGCGGGAAGACAGGGAGGGAGAGCGCGUCUGGGGAGUGUGCGCCCAAGGCCAGAGGCACCCGAGGUGGGCUGGCCCGGGGUGGAAAGCUGGGCCGAGCCCCUGGAGCGGGCGGAACGGCGAGCCAGAUUCAGGAAGUUGUGCCUGUGACAUCAGGGGCAGGACAGAGUUGGAGCGAAACCUCAACUAUGCAAGGCGUCGGCCCGCAGGAGGGCAGGGAACACAGAGGGCGCUGUCCUCGGCUGCAGCGGCAGACCCGGCUAGCAGUGGGAGUGCAGAGGCAACCAAAAAGGAACCCACACCUCGCUCCAGGGCCCGGGGCGCUGUCAGACGGGGCAGCACCCAGGAGAUUCCCUGGGCAACCACGCCUGCAGGAAGCCCUUCCGCGGACCGAAAGACUGGGCAGUGAUCAGGAUCUGAAUGCACAGGGCUGGUGUUCAGCGAUUGUUUACUACGUUGAACGUGACCUCCAGAAAAGCAGUUCUGGCCGAGAUCCCCUGACAACACAGAAGAAGAAGUAACGUGGAAGGAGGCUCCCCAAGCUGGCCAUUGUGCUGCUGUGUGUGGAGGUGCUGUCAGUGGCAUGCCCAAACCCAAAGCUGGAAGAGGAAUAAAUUACAAGUGGUCAAGGUUGCA